AUGGGUGUGGUUUCUGUACUCACAACUGUGGAGGUGGGAGUUUCAGUAGUUGGGGAUGCUGUAGUUAUUGAUCUUGUUACAGGUGCAGUUGUUUCUGAAGAUGUAGGCAUUGUUGAAGUAAGAGUUGUGGAUUCUGAAGUUACAGCUGUUGAUGUUGCUGGAUUGUUUGUUUUUGUAGAUGUGGUUGAUGAAGCUGUAGUUGUGGUUUCUGCUGUUGUACUUUCUGAAGUUGCAGGCAGUGUUGUUGAAGUAGUAGUUGUGGUUUCUGUAUUUACAACUGUGGUUUCUGCUGUUGUUCUUUCUGAAGUUGUAGGCAUUGUUUUUGAAGUAAUAGGUGUGGUUCCUGUACUCACAACUGUGGUGGUGGGAAUUUCAGUAGUUGAGGAUGCUGUAGUUACUGAUGUUGUUACAGGUGCAGUUGUUUCUGAAGAUGUAGGCAUUGCUGAAGUAAGAGUUGUGGAUUCUGAAGCUACAGCUGCUGAUGAUGUUGGAUCAUUUGUUGUUGUAGAUGUGGUCGAUGAAGCUGUAGUUGUGGUCUCUGCUGUUGUACUUUCUGAAGUUGCAGGCAGUGUUGUUGAAGUAAUGGGUGUGGUUUCGGUCCUCACAACUGUGGUGGUUGGAAUUUCAGUAGUUGAGGAUGCUGUAGUUACUGAUGUUGUUACAGGUGCAGUUGUUUCUGAAGAUGUAGGCAUUGCUGAAGUAAGAGUUGUGGAUUCUGAAGUUACAGCUGCAGAUGUUGUUGGAUCAUUUGUUGUUGAAGAUGUGGUUGAUGAAUCUGUAGUUGUGGUCUCUGCUGUUAUACUUUUUGAAUUUGUAGGCAUUGCUGUUGAAGUAAGUGUUGGGGAUUCUGAAGUUACUGCUGUUGAUGUUCUUGGAUUGUUUGUUAUUGUAGAUGUCCUUGAAGAAGCUGUAGUGGUGGUUUCCACUGUUGUACUUUCUGAAGUUGUAGGCAGUGUUGUUGAAGUAGUGGGUGUGGUUUCGGUCCUCACAACUGCGGUUGUGGGAAUUUCAGUAAAUGAGGAAGCUGUAGUUACUAAUGUUGUUACAGGUGCAGUUGUAUCUGAAGAUGUAGGCAUGGUUGUUGAAGUAAGAGUUGUGGGUUCAGAAGUUACAGCUGCUGAUGUUGGUGGAUCAUUUAUUGUUGUAGAUGUGGUUGAUGAAGCAGUAGUUGUGGUCUCUGCUGUUGUUCUUUCUGAAGUCACAGGCAGUGUUGUUGAAGUAAUAGUUGUGGUUUCAGUCCUCACAACAAUGCUUGUGGGACUUUCAGUAGUUGAGUGUGCUGUAGUUACUGAUGUUGUUACAGGUGCAGUUGUUUCUGAAGAUGUAGGCAUAGUUGUUGAAGUAAGAGUUGUGGGUUCAGAAGUUGCAGCUGUUGAUGUUGUUGGAUCGUUUGUUGCUGUAGAUUUGGUUGAUGAAGCUGUAGUCGUGGUUUCCACUGUUGUACUUUCUGAAGUUGUAGGCAGUGUUGUUGAAGUAAUAGGUGUGGUCUCUGUACUCACAACUGUGGUGGUGGGAAUUUCAGUAGUUGAGGAUACUGUAGUUACUAAUGUUGUAACAGGUGCAGUUGUUUCUGAAGAUGUAGGCAUUUUUGAAGUAAGAGUUGUGGAUUCUGAAGCUACAGCUGCUGAUGAUGUUGGAUCAUUUGUUGUUGUAGAUGUGAUUGAUGAAGCUGUAGUUGUGGUCUCUGCUGUUGUACUUUCUGAAGUUGCAGGCAGUGUUGUUGAAGUAAUGGGUGUGGUUUCGGUCCUCACAACUGUGGUGGUGGGAAUUUCAGUAGUUGAGGAUGCUGUAGUUACUGAUGUUGUUACAGGUGUGGUUGUUUCUGAAGAUGUAGGCAUGGUUGUUGAAGUAAGAGUUGUGGGUUCAGAAGUUACAGCUGCUGAUGUUGUUGGAUCAUUUAUUGUUGUAGAUGUGGUUGAUGAAGCUGUAGUUGUGGUCUCUGCUGAUAUUCUUUCUGAAGUCAUAGGCAGUGUUGUUGAAGUAACAGUUGUGGUUUCAGUCCUCACAACUGUGCUUGAGGGACUUUCAGUAGUUGAGUGUGCUGUAGUUACUGAUGUUGUUAUAGGUGCAGUUGUUUCUGAAGAUGUAGGUAAAGUUGUUGAAAUAAGAUCUGUGGAUUCUGAAGUUACAGCUGUUGAUGUUGUUGGAUCGUUUGUUGUUGUAGAUGUGGUUGAUGAAGCUGUAGACGUGGUUUCCACUGUUGUACUUUCUGAAGUUGUAGGCAGUGUUGUUGAAGUAAUAGGUGUGGUCUCUGUACUCACAACUGCGGUUGUGGGAAUUUCAGUAGAUGAGGAAGCUGUAUUUACUGAUGUUGUUACAGGUGCAGUUGUAUCUGAAGAUGUAGGCAUGGUUGUUGAAGUAAGAGUUGUGGGUUCAGAAGUUACAGCUGCUGAUGCUGUUGGAUCAUUUAUUGUUGUAGAUGUGGUUGAUGAAGCUGUAGUCGUAGGUUCCGAUCUUGUACUUUCUGAAGUUGUAGGCAAUGUUGUUGAAAUAAAUGUUGUGGAUUCUGGAGUUACUGGUGUUGAUGUUGUUGGAUCGUUUUUUGUUGUAGAUGUGGUUGAUGAAGCUGUAGUUGUGGUCUCUGCUGUUGUUCUUUCUGAAGUCACAGGCAGUGUUGUUGAAGUAAUAGUUGUGGUUUCAGUCCUCACAACUGUGCUUGUGGGAAUUUCAGUAGUUGAGGAUACUGUAGUUACUAAUGUUGUAACAGGUGCAGUUGUUUCUGAAGAUGUAGGCAUUUUUGAAGUAAGAGUUGUGGAUUCUGAAGCUACAGCUGCUGAUGAUGUUGGAUCAUUUGUUGUUGUAGAUGUGAUUGAUGAAGCUGUAGUUGUGGUCUCUGCUGUUGUACUUUCUGAAGUUGCAGGCAGUGUUGUUGAAGUAAUGGGUGUGGUUUCGGUCCUCACAACUGUGGUGGUGGGAAUUUCAGUAGUUGAGGAUGCUGUAGUUACUGAUGUUGUUACAGGUGUGGUUGUUUCUGAAGAUGUAGGCAUGGUUGUUGAAGUAAGAGUUGUGGGUUCAGAAGUUACAGCUGCUGAUGUUGUUGGAUCAUUUAUUGUUGUAGAUGUGGUUGAUGAAGCAGUAGUUGUGGUCUCUGCUGUUGUUCUUUCUGAAGUCACAGGCAGUGUUGUUGAAGUAAUAGUUGUGGUUUCAGUCCUCACAACAAUGCUUGUGGGACUUUCAGUAGUUGAGUGUGCUGUAGUUACUGAUGUUGUUACAGGUGCAGUUGUUUCUGAAGAUGUAGGCAUAGUUGUUGAAGUAAGAGUUGUGGGUUCAGAAGUUGCAGCUGUUGAUGUUGUUGGAUCGUUUGUUGCUGUAGAUUUGGUUGAUGAAGCUGUAGUCAUGGGUUCCGCUCUUGUACUUUCUGAAGUUGUAGACAAUGUUGUUGAAGUAAUAGGUGUGGUCUCUGUACUCACAACUGUGGUGGUGGGAAUUUCAGUAGUUGAGGAUACUGUAGUUACUAAUGUUGUAACAGGUGCAGUUGUUUCUGAAGAUGUAGGCAUUUUUGAAGUAAGAGUUGUGGAUUCUGAAGCUACAGCUGCUGAUGAUGUUGGAUCAUUUGUUGUUGUAGAUGUGAUUGAUGAAGCUGUAGUUGUGGUCUCUGCUCUUGUACUUUCUGAAGUUGCAGGCAGUGUUGUUGAAGUAAUGGGUGUGGUUUCGGUCCUCACAACUGUGGUGGUGGGAAUUUCAGUAGUUGAGGAUGCUGUAGUUACUGAUGUUGUUACAGGUGUGAAGCUGUAGUUGUGGUCUCUGCUGUUGUACUUUCUGAAGUUGCAGGCAGUGUUGUUGAAGUAAUGGGUGUGGUUUCGGUCCUCACAACUGUGGUGGUUGGAAUUUCAGUAGUUGAGGAUGCUGUAGUUACUGAUGUUGUUACAGGUGCAGUUGUUUCUGAAGAUGUAGGCAUUGCUGAAGUAAGAGUUGUGGAUUCUGAAGUUACAGCUGCAGAUGUUGUUGGAUCAUUUGUUGUUGAAGAUGUGGUUGAUGAAUCUGUAGUUGUGGUCUCUGCUGUUAUACUUUUUGAAGUUGUAGGCAUUGUUGUUGAAGUAAGUGUUGGGGAUUCUGAAGUUACUGCUGUUGAUGUUCUUGGAUUGUUUGUUAUUGUAGAUGUCCUUGAAGAAGCUGUAGUGGUGGUUUCCACUGUUGUACUUUCUGAAGUUGUAGGCAGUGUUGUUGAAGUAAUGGGUGUGGUUUCGGUCCUCACAACUGCGGUUGUGGGAAUUUCAGUAAAUGAGGAAGCUGUAGUUACUAAUGUUGUUACAGGUGCAGUUGUAUCUGAAGAUGUAGGCAUGGUUGUUGAAGUAAGAGUUGUGGGUUCAGAAGUUACAGCUGCUGAUGUUGUUGGAUCAUUUAUUGUUGUAGAUGUGGUUGAUGAAGCAGUAGUUGUGGUCUCUGCUGUUGUUCUUUCUGAAGUCACAGGCAGUGUUGUUGAAGUAAUAGUUGUGGUUUCAGUCCUCACAACAAUGCUUG
ensembl:lncRNA